GGUUAAGUGACUAAGCGUACACGGUGGAUGCCUUGGCAGUCAGAGGCGAUGAAAGACGUAGUAACUUGCGAUAAGCCCAGAUUAGGUAGUAACAACCAUUUGAGUCUGGGAUUUCUGAAUGGGGAAACCCACGUGCAUAAGCACGUAUCCUUACCUGAAUACAUAGGGUAAGGAGGCGAACCGGGGGAACUGAAACAUCUAAGUACCCCGAGGAAAAGAAAUCAACCGAGAUUCCGAAAGUAGCGGCGAGCGAAAUUGGACUAGCCCUUAAGCUUUACACGCGUUAGACGAACGGUCUGGAAAGUCCGACGAUACAGGGUGAUAGUCCCGUAGUUGACGACGUGUGUUCAGUGAAAUCGAGUAGGGCGGGACACGUGAUAUCCUGUCUGAAUAUGGGGGGACCAUCCUCCAAGGCUAAAUACUACUGACUGACCGAUAGUGAACCAGUACCGUGAGGGAAAGGCGAAAAGAACCCCUGUGAGGGGAGUGAAAUAGAACCUGAAACCGUGUACGUACAAGCAGUAGGAGCAGGCUUUGUCCUGUGACUGCGUACCUUUUGUAUAAUGGGUCAGCGACUUAUAUUCAGUGGCAAGGUUAACCAUCUAGGGGAGCCGUAGGGAAACCGAGUCUUAACUGGGCGUUCAGUCUCUGGAUAUAGACCCGAAACCAGGUGAUCUAGCCAUGGGCAGGUUGAAGGUUGAGUAACAUCAACUGGAGGACCGAACCGACUAAUGUUGAAAAAUUAGCGGAUGACUUGUGGCUAGGGGUGAAAGGCCAAUCAAACCUGGAGAUAGCUGGUUCUCCCCGAAAGCUAUUUAGGUAGCGCCUCGGACGAAUACUACUGGGGGUAGAGCACUGUUAAGGCUAGGGGGUCAUCCCGACUUACCAACCCUUUGCAAACUCCGAAUACCAGUAAGUACUAUCCGGGAGACACACGGCGGGUGCUAACGUCCGUCGUGGAGAGGGAAACAACCCAGACCGCCAGCUAAGGUCCCAAAUUACUACUAAGUGGGAAACGAUGUGGGAAGGCUCAGACAGCCAGGAUGUUGGCUUAGAAGCAGCCAUCAUUUAAAGAAAGCGUAAUAGCUCACUGGUCGAGUCGGCCUGCGCGGAAGAUGUAACGGGGCUAAGUAGUAAACCGAAGCUGCGGCAAUGUGCUUUUGCACAUUGGGUAGGGGAGCGUUCUGUAAGCGGUUGAAGGUGUGUGGUAACGCAUGCUGGACGUAUCAGAAGUGCGAAUGCUGACAUGAGUAACGAUAAAGGGGGUGAAAAACCUCCUCGCCGGAAGACCAAGGGUUCCUGUCCAACGUUAAUCGGGGCAGGGUAAGUCGACCCCUAAGGCGAGGCCGAAAGGCGUAGUCGAUGGGAAACGGGUUAAUAUUCCCGUACUUCUUACAAUUGCGAUGGGGGGACGGAGAAGGCUAGGUGGGCCUGGCGACGGUUGUCCAGGUUCAAGUGCGUAGGCUUAAGAGUUAGGUAAAUCCGGCUCUUUUUAAGGCUGAGACACGACGUCGAGCACCUACGGGUGUGAAGUCAUUGAUGCCAUGCUUCCAGGAAAAGCCUCUAAGCUUCAGAUUGUAAGGAAUCGUACCCCAAACCGACACAGGUGGUCGGGUAGAGAAUACCAAGGCGCUUGAGAGAACUCGGGUGAAGGAACUAGGCAAAAUGGUACCGUAACUUCGGGAGAAGGUACGCUCUUGAUGGUGAAGUCCCUCGCGGAUGGAGCUGACGAGAGUCGCAGAUACCAGGUGGCUGCAACUGUUUAUUAAAAACACAGCACUGUGCAAAAUCGUAAGAUGACGUAUACGGUGUGACGCCUGCCCGGUGCCGGAAGGUUAAUUGAUGGGGUUAGACUUCGGUCGAAGCUCUUGAUCGAAGCCCCGGUAAACGGCGGCCGUAACUAUAACGGUCCUAAGGUAGCGAAAUUCCUUGUCGGGUAAGUUCCGACCUGCACGAAUGGCGUAAUGAUGGCCACGCUGUCUCCACCCGAGACUCAGUGAAAUUGAAAUCGCUGUGAAGAUGCAGUGUACCCGCGGCUAGACGGAAAGACCCCGUGAACCUUUACUACAGCUUGGCACUGAACAUUGACCCUACAUGUGUAGGAUAGGUGGGAGGCUUUGAAGCACGUACGCCAGUAUGUGUGGAGCCGUCCUUGAAAUACCACCCUUGUAGUGUUGAUGUUCUAACGUCGACCCCUAAUCGGGGUUGCGGACAGUGCCUGGUGGGUAGUUUGACUGGGGCGGUCUCCUCCCAAAGAGUAACGGAGGAGCACGAAGGUGGGCUAAUCACGGUUGGACAUCGUGAGGUUAGUGCAAUGGCAUAAGCCCGCUUGACUGCGAGAAUGACAAUUCGAGCAGGUGCGAAAGCAGGUCAUAGUGAUCCGGUGGUUCUGAAUGGAAGGGCCAUCGCUCAACGGAUAAAAGGUACUCCGGGGAUAACAGGCUGAUACCGCCCAAGAGUUCAUAUCGACGGCGGUGUUUGGCACCUCGAUGUCGGCUCAUCACAUCCUGGGGCUGAAGUCGGUCCCAAGGGUAUGGCUGUUCGCCAUUUAAAGUGGUACGCGAGCUGGGUUUAGAACGUCGUGAGACAGUUCGGUCCCUAUCUGCCGUGGGCGUUGGAAGAUUGAAGGGGGCUGCUCCUAGUACGAGAGGACCGGAGUGGACGAACCUCUGGUGUUCGGGUUGUGUCGCCAGACGCAUUGCCCGGUAGCUAAGUUCGGAAUCGAUAACCGCUGAAAGCAUCUAAGCGGGAAGCGAGCCCUGAGAUGAGUCUUCCCUGAUACUUUAAGUAUCCUAAAGGGUUGUCGGAGACUACGACGUUGAUAGGUCAGGUGUGUAAGUGCUGUGAGGCAUUGAGCUAACUGAUACUAAUUGCCCGUGAGGCUUAACCAU
rnacentral:rRNA from 1 species